rnacentral:rRNA from 1 species
GUCGAGCGGACGUUUCCUUCGGGGUUGGUUAGCGGCGGACGGGUGAGUAACACGUAGGCAACCUGCCUGUAAGAUCGGGAUAACUACCGGAAACGGUAGCUAAGACCGGAUAGCUGGUUUCUCCGCAUGGGGGAAUCAUGAAACAUGGGGCAACCUGUGGCUUACGGAUGGGCCUGCGGCGCAUUAGCUAGUUGGUGGGGUAACGGCCCACCAAGGCGACGAUGCGUAGCCGACCUGAGAGGGUGAUCGGCCACACUGGGACUGAGACACGGCCCAAACUCCUACGGGAGGCAGCAGUAGGGAAUCUUCCGCAAUGGGCGCAAGCCUGACGGAGCAACGCCGCGUGAGUGAUGAAGGUUUUCGGAUCGUAAAGCUCUGUUGCCAAGGAAGAACGCCUCGGAGAGUAACUGCUCUGAGGGUGACGGUACUUGAGAAGAAAGCCCCGGCUAACUACGUGCCAGCAGCCGCGGUAAUACGUAGGGGGCAAGCGUUGUCCGGAAUUAUUGGGCGUAAAGCGCGCGCAGGCGGUCUUUUAAGUUUGGUGUUUAAGCCCGGGGCUCAACCCCGGUUCGCACUGAAAACUGGGAGACUUGAGUGCAGGAGAGGAAAGCGGAAUUCCACGUGUAGCGGUGAAAUGCGUAGAGAUGUGGAGGAACACCAGUGGCGAAGGCGGCUUUCUGGACUGUAACUGACGCUGAGGCGCGAAAGCGUGGGAGCAAACAGGAUUAGAUACCCUGGUAGUCCACGCCGUAAACGAUGAGUGCUAGGUGUUAGGGGUUUCGAUACCCUUGGUGCCGAAGUAAACACAAUAAGCACUCCGCCUGGGGAGUACGCUCGAAGAGUGAAACUCAAAGGAAUUGACGGGGACCCGCACAAGCAGUGGGUAUGUGGUUUAAUUUCGAAGCAACGCGAAGAACCUUACCAGGUCUUGACAUCCCUCUGACC